CAGGUGUAGUUUAAUGGUAGAACUUCAGCCUUCCAAGCUGACUGUGAGGGUUCGAUUCCCUUCACCUG
rnacentral:tRNA from 1 species